rnacentral:rRNA from 1 species
UUUGAACCGCAUGGUUCAAACAUAAAAGGUGGCUUCGGCUACCACUUACAGAUGGACCCGCGGCGCAUUAGCUAGUUGGUGAGGUAACGGCUCACCAAGGCAACGAUGCGUAGCCGACCUGAGAGGGUGAUCGGCCACACUGGGACUGAGACACGGCCCAGACUCCUACGGGAGGCAGCAGUAGGGAAUCUUCCGCAAUGGACGAAAGUCUGACGGAGCAACGCCGCGUGAGUGAUGAAGGUUUUCGGAUCGUAAAGCUCUGUUGUUAGGGAAGAACAAGUACCGUUCGAAUAGGGCGGUACCUUGACGGUACCUAACCAGAAAGCCACGGCUAACUACGUGCCAGCAGCCGCGGUAAUACGUAGGUGGCAAGCGUUGUCCGGAAUUAUUGGGCGUAAAGGGCUCGCAGGCGGUUUCUUAAGUCUGAUGUGAAAGCCCCCGGCUCAACCGGGGAGGGUCAUUGGAAACUGGGGAACUUGAGUGCAGAAAAGGAGAGUGGAAUUCCACGUGUAGCGGUGAAAUGCGUAGAGAUGUGGAGGAACACCAGUGGCGAAGGCGACUCUCUGGUCUGUAACUGACGCUGAGGAGCGAAAGCGU